UAAUGGGGCUGGUACCAACUCCUUUGUUCUGCUCAGUCUCCUGGGGAGCCAAGGGAACUUCACACAUGAAUUAGGAAGCGUCGACGGUGAUGACUUUGAAUCUGGUUUUACAGACAUAUUCCAGUUUGGGGAUGAAUGUAUUGGUGAGAUGGUGGACAUGACUUUGAAGGUCAUACCUUUCGGUGUAUCGCCAGCAUGGCAACUAGAAUGGAUCACAGUACAGAUCAACAUCUUCAGUGAAGGUGGACCCUCUAACACAACAACAUACAUAGCCGACGUGAACUCCUGGCUGGCUUGCGCCUGGAAUCCGUUUGUACCUGAGCCAGAUGAACGGACAUUACCGUUCAGGAAACUUCCGAUAUCCACUAAGGACUAGGGAGGAUGAAGACAAGACAGUCAGGCAUCACUGUCAAACGUUAGUCCUUCGAACCGAGUUGAUCUGCUCAUGUAGUCUUUCUCUCUGGAAACAGUGUUCAUGAUGCGGACAUAUAC